rnacentral:rRNA from 1 species
AUUGAACGCUGGCGGCAGGCCUAACACAUGCAAGUCGAACGGUAGCACAGAGAGCUUGCUCUCGGGUGACGAGUGGCGGACGGGUGAGUAAUGUCUGGGAAACUGCCCGAUGGAGGGGGAUAACUACUGGAAACGGUAGCUAAUACCGCAUAACGUCUUCGGAUCAAAGUGGGGGACCUUCGGGCCUCACACCAUCGGAUGUGCCCAGAUGGGAUUAGCUAGUAGGUGGGGUAAUGGCUCACCUAGGCGACGAUCCCUAGCUGGUCUGAGAGGAUGACCAGCCACACUGGAACUGAGCCACGGUCCAGACUCCUACGGGAGGCAGCAGUGGGGAAUAUUGCACAAUGGGCGCAAGCCUGAUGCAGCCAUGCCGCGUGUAUGAAGAAGGCCUUCGGGUUGUAAAGUACUUUCAGCGGGGAGGAAGGCGGUGAAGUUAAUAGCUUCAUCGAUUGACGUUACCCGCAGAAGAAGCACCGGCUAACUCCGUGCCAGCAGCCGCAGUAA